rnacentral:rRNA from 1 species
GAUGAACGCUGGCGGCGUGCCUCAAACAUGCAAGUCGAGCGGGGCUAUGUAAUAUCGCAAGGUAGAACAUAGCCUAGCGGCGAACGGGUGAGUAACACGUGGGUAACCUGCCUGGAAGACAGGGAUAACGAUUCGAAAGGGUCGCUAAUACCUGAUAAUAUCCUUUCAUCGCAUGGUGAUAGGAAGAAAGGGGAAACCCGCUUUCAGAUGGGCCCGCGUCCCAUCAGCUAGUUGGUAAGGUAAAGGCUUACCAAGGCGACGACGGGUAGCCGGUCUGAGAGGAUGUACGGCCACACUGGGACUGAGAUACGGCCCAGACUCCUACGGGAGGCAGCAGUUGGGAAUCUUAGGCAAUGGACGAAAGUCUGACCUAGCGACGCCGCGUGAGGGAAGAAGGCCUUCGGUUGUAAACCUCUGUCAUGGGGAAGAAGUAAGUGACGGUACCCCAAGAGGAAGCCCUGCUAACUACGUG